AGAGUUUGAUCCUGGCUCAGGACGAACGCUGGCGGCGCGCCUAACACAUGCAAGUCGAACGAGCGAGAGAGAGCUUGCUUUCUCGAGCGAGUGGCGAACGGGUGAGUAACGCGUGAGGAACCUGCCUCAAAGAGGGGGACAACAGUUGGAAACGACUGCUAAUACCGCAUAAGCCCACAGGUCGGCAUCGACCAGAGGGAAAAGGAGCAAUCCGCUUUGAGAUGGCCUCGCGUCCGAUUAGCUAGUUGGUGAGGUAACGGCCCACCAAGGCAACGAUCGGUAGCCGGACUGAGAGGUUGAACGGCCACAUUGGGACUGAGACACGGCCCAGACUCCUACGGGAGGCAGCAGUGGGGAAUAUUGCACAAUGGGGGAAACCCUGAUGCAGCGACGCCGCGUGGAGGAAGAAGGUCUUCGGAUUGUAAACUCCUGUUGUUGAGGAAGAUAAUGACGGUACUCAACAAGGAAGUGACGGCUAACUACGUGCCAGCAGCCGCGGUAAAACGUAGGUCACAAGCGUUGUCCGGAAUUACUGGGUGUAAAGGGAGCGCAGGCGGGAAGACAAGUUGGAAGUGAAAUCUAUGGGCUCAACCCAUAAACUGCUUUCAAAACUGUUUUUCUUGAGUAGUGCAGAGGUAGGCGGAAUUCCCGGUGUAGCGGUGGAAUGCGUAGAUAUCGGGAGGAACACCAGUGGCGAAGGCGGCCUACUGGGCACCAACUGACGCUGAGGCUCGAAAGUGUGGGUAGCAAACAGGAUUAGAUACCCUGGUAGUCCACACCGUAAACGAUGAUUACUAGGUGUGGGGGGAUUGACCCCUUCCGUGCCGGAGUAAACACAAUAAGUAAUCCACCUGGGGAGUACGACCGCAAGGUUGAAACUCAAAGGAAUUGACGGGGGCCCGCACAAGCAGUGGAGUAUGUGGUUUAAUUCGACGCAACGCGAAGAACCUUACCAGGUCUUGACAUCAAGUGACAGUCUAAGAGAUUAGGCCUUCCCUUCGGGGACACAAAGACAGGUGGUGCAUGGUUGUCGUCAGCUCGUGUCGUGAGAUGUUGGGUUAAGUCCCGCAACGAGCGCAACCCUUAUCAUUAGUUGCUACGCAAGAGCACUCUAAUGAGACUGCCGUUGACAAAACGGAGGAAGGUGGGGAUGACGUCAAAUCAUCAUGCCCUUUAUGACCUGGGCUACACACGUACUACAAUGGCGUUUAACAAAGAGAAGCAAAGCCGCGAGGCAGAGCAAAUCUCCAAAAAACGUCUCAGUUCGGAUUGUAGGCUGCAACUCGCCUACAUGAAGUCGGAAUUGCUAGUAAUCGUAGAUCAGCAUGCCACGGUGAAUACGUUCCCGGGCCUUGCACACACCGCCCGUCA
rnacentral:rRNA from 1 species